GAUGAAGAACGUAGCGAAAUGUGAUAAGUAAUGUGAAUUGCAGAAUUCAGUGAAUCAUCGAAUCUUUGAACGCACCUUGCACCCUUUGGCAUUCUGAAGGGUAUGCUCGUUUGAGUGUCAUUGUACUCUCACACUCCCGAUCUUUGCAUUGGGAGCAGUGGACUUGGGUUUGCUGCUUCACCGUCGCUUACCUCAAAUAGGUUAGUGCAACUCUUGGUUGGACAUAGUACGGCGUGAUAAGUGUUCUUCGCCGGUGCCUCGCAAAGAGGGUGGCCGAUCGGGAUGUUGUGCUCCAAACCGUCUUCGGACAAUCUCUGACGACUUGACCUCAAAUCGAGUAAGACUACCCGCUGAACUUAAGCAUAACAAUAAGCGGAGGA
rnacentral:misc_RNA from 1 species